CAGCAGCCACGGUAAUACGAAGGGUGCAUGCGUUAAUCGGAAUUACUGGGCGUAAAGCGUGCGUAGGCGGUGAGUUAAGUCUGCUGUGAAAUCCCCGGGCUCAACCUGGGAAUGGCAGUGGAUACUGGCUCGCUAGAGUGUGUCAGAGGAUGGUGGAAUUCCCGGUGUAGCGGUGAAAUGCGUAGAGAUCGGGAGGAACAUCAGUGGCGAAGGCGGCCAUCUGGGACAACACUGACGCUGAGACACGAAAGCGUGGGGAGCAAACAGGAUUAGAUACCCCCGUAGUCCCUGUCUCUUAUAC
rnacentral:rRNA from 1 species